rnacentral:lncRNA from 1 species
UAACAGUUCUCUGUUUUAUUGCAAUACAGCAAAGUCUGGUUAAUAUUAAGUGAUAUCAACAUAAAGUAUUGGUGAGGAGUCUUUUGUGACAUUUUUUACCAUCCCACCUUAAAUAUUUCUGUGCAAAAGAAUCCACAUCAUUGUUUGGUAGCAGAGGAUCUCUUAAAAAGUUCCCUAAGACACUGAGGGCAUAAAACCAAACAAAAUAAAAUAAGGAGUGAUAGGCUAAAGCAGUAUCUUCCCCUCCAUCCACAUUUGUCAGCAUUAUAUUCUAACCAAAAAAUGAUCACACCAGGCCAUGCAAAACUGUACAAUAUUACGAGAAAAACCCUAAAAAAUUUAUAAAAUGAAUGAUAUUACACUAUCAAAUAAAAAGACAAGUCAUUUUGUUUUCAUGAGAUUUCAAGGUUGAUUUGAGUCAGCUUCCCCCGGAACUGCACGGUGUCCUGUGUGGGGAGGGCCCAGCGUGCUGCCAGUGCUGGGGGGCAGGGCUUACACUCCUUAUCUAGCAGAAGUGCACAGAGAACUCUGGACUUGAGUAACAAAGUCAUAAGGAAAGAGAUUUUAAAAUGGGCUCCAUGAAAUGCAGCUCAUCUAGUUCAGGGCUGGGCCAGAGAGACGGGGGAGUGGAGUGCCCAAUUCAUUCCCUGUUGUGCUCACCAGACAUGGGCUACGGCAAAGUCUGCUCUGAGCGCCCCUCUGUCUAGAUUGGAUGGGGAGCCUUAGGCUUGGCAAGGCCUACCUGCUGGGAGACUGCAGUGGUUGUGAUCCCGGCCAAAGGCGGCAAAUGGCCCUGCUGCGUCUGUGGUUUUGACCUCUGCUCACCCCUGCUCUGGCUUUUCCUUAAUGAUACCUGAGAUGCCACAUAAAUGUAACCAGUCUUUCUCAGAAAUAGACGUGGCCACUAAGUAACAAAAUGACAUAAUUCUAACCUAUGGAAGGAGAGAGAGGCUGAGAGCUAGCCAGGAAUGAUAGAUUGUUGCUGUAAACAUGACAGGAAUUUCAGAUUCUCCCCUGAAAUGUGAGUACAAUAAUUGGCUGGAAAACCAAAUAGAUGGGCUCCUUUUAGUUGUAUCUCAUAGCCUUAAAGCUGUGCUCCCUAGGAAAUAACAGAAAUCACUAAGUGUGUUGGGGAUGUGUAUAAAUACAUACAUAAUAACAAAAAAUGUAAGAUCUACUUUAGCAAUCAUUUGACAAGAAGCAAGACUUUUGUUUUUGGCAAAAAGAAUAUAUAUGUAUGUAAUUUUAAAUACCCAAAGCACAAACAUGAUUAGUCAGAAUUUGAGGGUAGAUAACUUGGCUGGACAUAGAUAGCACCAAAUACUAACACAGAUAGACUAUCCCAGAAAUGCCUCUGAAUGUAUUUUUUCUAUUGAGAAACAGGUUUCUGCUGCCAUAUACGUUUUUAAAAUGUCCUGCAUGAAAACAAAAGAAAACUUCAGAUAGUAAUAAAAUACUUUAUCUGUGAGCUGUGCUACUGACUCCUCUGAAUGGUCAUUAUGUUUUCUUUGCCUAGAACCCACUCCCUGUCUUUUCACAUCAUUCUUCUCAGAAGCUUCUGGAGGUAACAGGCUUCAUAUUUAAGGGUGGGAUAAACCCAGUAGGAUGACCGUUAUUUUGGGAAAACCCUCCCCAAAACUAUUCCCCCUGGCAGUGUUUCUCUCCUAAAGCCCUGCUUUUAGAAUCUGCACGCAUUCGGGACUGCUCUAUUAUGACUGAUGAGAUUACUUGCCAUUGCAGUGGAAAAAUCAAAGAGUGCCAUGGUGCAAUCCAUGGGGUGAAUAUGGACAAGUCGCCCAGUUAGCCUGGCAACCUAGACAAGCCUCAGUAGCUCUCUCUCUCUGCCCUGUUGGGAGGCUGAAGAGUAUGACCCAUAGCAGUGGAGCUAGACUUUAGGUAGGGUUAUUAUUUUGAUCUUAAAAGCAUCCUUUGCAAAAUAAGCACCUAUAAGCAACAAAAAUUCAUAAUUACUUGUCAAAGCUACAAACUAAUGGCUUAUGUCAAGUCCUGUUAAUCUCGGCUUGGGAUGGCCUCCUCCCUGCCUGAGAAGAGAAGGGAGAGAGGAGAAGGCAAGGGGAAAGGGAAGAGGAGGAUGGGGAGGGUGGGGAUGGGGAGGGUGGGAAGAGUGAGGAGGAGAGGAGGGGAGGGUGGGGAGAGUGAGGAGGGUGGGGAGAGUGAGGAGGGUGGGGAGAGUGGGGAGGAGAGGAGAGAAGGGUGGACAGAAGGGGUGCGAGCUGGUCACGAGCACCAAGCAGGGGGCCGGCUGGCUGACUCCCUUCUCUCACGUGAGGUGCUGAGGACAAGGAUCUACCAAGUCAUAUGACAAUGAUCCAACUAAAGGGCCAACCCUUGGUAUUCAGGUGCUUACAAUGGAAUCCCCAGCAGGAUCCUUUCUUCCCUCACUGCAUCUCAGAACCUUCUCCACACAGCAGCAUCACCUGGAAACAGCCUCAGCUCCCUGCACAUGCCGCAGGCCAGCAUGGUGGCCACCUCAGUGACACGCAGGUCACCUCAGUGACACAGACGUGGAGUCACAGACAGCAGCAGUGAAAUGAUGGCCUUAAACACUGCAACUCAGGUUAGCAACUGCAGGAAAACUUUCUUCAUUUUCACUGAAUUUUAAAGAGAGAAUCCUGUCUCUAUUUCUCAGAGAAACUUAGGUGAAAAGUAAAAGAGAGGCAAAAUCUCUUUCCUUCAUGAGAUACUUUUAUUUUUAUCUCUUUCUCUACUCAUGUGCUUAACUGGUGAAAUGAUUCUGUAGAAAUAGAUCCUUCUGAUUCUGCAUCUCAUUUCCUUAUGGCAACUACAACAGGAGGAAUCCAGCUGGAAAUGCCACUAACCCCACAAUCCAGCACCUGAGAGAGGAAGCCAGUCGGAGCGCCGUGCUGGGCUCACUCACUCUGGCCUGCGCACUGGGGUUGUCACAUCCAUUUUCCACUGGCUAUGGGGAAUAAUAUUUGGUUAAGGCUGUUGAAGCCCUUGCUUUUGAGGUUUUACAUUAUUUGGUAAUGAAAGCCGUUUUUUCUUCCUUCCCCAGGCUUAUGUGAAGAAGCCCACGCCCACUCUCAACAAAACAGACUCCUCCUUGGGAAGCAUCUCCAGCCCUGGGACAGACACCUCGCUGUGACUUAGGGAGGGACAGGAUUAGCCCAGGAAUAAAAGCAUUUUUAGAAAUUGUUUUCUGCACCUUCAGAAGCUACAACACUCCUUGUAACCUUUCAGAUGGAAGGGAUCAGAGGUGACAGAAUCGUGUAUUUCUACAUUUAUCUGCGGAAGAUAAAAUACAAUAAAAAGUGAGAAGUGUUCAAAUUCCACCACUAGGAAAAGAAACAUCUUGGGUAGAGAUGAGUUCGCCUUUUGCUGCUGCUGCUGAAGUGGCUUCAAAUGUUAAAGCUCUGGUGCCCAGGGCAUGCCCCAAACCAGCAAAACCUGGCUCUGCAAGUGUUUUCUACAGCUCCCCAGGUGACUAGAGCCUAUGACCAGUUUGAGGACAGGGCAAUAAAGGGAACUCUGAUUUCUCUCGCUCUCUCUCUACAAAUGUGAGCUUGAGGCCUUUCCACCCUUUACAUUACAUUACAGACAAGAAACAACAUAUUUCUUUAAAUUAAAUCAUCUCUCUUAUAUAUGCAUCCAUCUUUUGUUGAAUACAAGAGGCUCCUUUUAAAUAUAUACAUUCAGUACUUCUACAUUUAUGUAUUCAUUUAAACUCUGUACUGUAGUAAAAUAUGCAUUGUUUUAAUUCAUAAGGAUUUCCUGGCAACAAUCAGGUUGAUACUCACUGCGUUUGCUGAUUAAGAGCUUAGUGAGCCACUCCAGGGACCAAUUCUCCCUUCUGGAUGCGGAGAAGCCCAUGAGCUAUUUUAGGACUAUAAUGAGACUCUACUGUGAAAGCAAAAUCUGUCUAAUCUUAUUCUUAUCACUUACAUUUGUGUAAUCUGUCUAUUUAAGCUACCUUUGGGAGUAGGGGUAAAAUGUUACUGAAAGCAACUCUAAGUGCAUGGAAUGAAAUCAACGUUAAUCUAAGCUGCUACGGAAAGUCUGUCUUUGUUGUUGCUGUUAGGCUGGGGGCGUGGAUCUGAGAGUCGUGUCGUCAGAACUCCUGAAUCCCUGUCCUGCUACUGCUGCCAGCCCCUGGUGGCUUUCAGGCCGAGCAGGCGAGGUGGAGGGAAGAGAUGAAAGUGAGAGGAGGCGAGUGGCAGGGAGCGGAGAGCGAGAGGUCCCAGUGCUGAGGCAGCUCACGGGUCCCAGCUCCCGCGGUCAGUGCUCUCCAGGGAGAGGCUCUUGGUUUUUCGGGGUGAAGCUGGGCUUGGGGGGCUGCUUAGGUUGGAACUGUUGG